rnacentral:lncRNA from 1 species
CCUCCAACCCUUAGCACGAAUUGACUUCUUUGUUCCCUUUAAAUAGUUUCAAUACUUGUUUUAAGUUGAUUAAUGGUCUUAAGAUCAAAACUUUAAGUUGUAUGCGUAUUUGAUUAUUUGUUAACAAGUCCAUUUGAUACAAGUACUGCUUAGAUCUCUUGUACUCGGAAUGUUUGAAACAUUGUAUAAAGCCAUUACUAAUC